rnacentral:rRNA from 1 species
UACAGAGGUCUCGAGCGUUAGGCGGAAUCACUGGGCUUAAAGCGUGUGUAGGUGGCUGCCUAAGUACCUUGUGAAAUCCCACAGCUUAACUGUGAAACUGCAUUGGAUACUAUCCGGCUCGAGGAAUGGAGGGGAGACUGGAAUACUUGGUGUAGCAGUGAAAUGCGUAGAGAUCGGGAGGAACACCAGUGGCGAAGGCGGCCUUCUGGACCAGUACUGACGCUCAUGCACGAAAGCGUGGGGAGCAAACAGG